GACCUGUUGGCGCACGCGGUAGCGCACCCACAACUUUGAUGGUCUCGGCAGAAAUUACAUAAGCGGGAGAGCCCAGUUCGACUCUGGGAUGGGUCA